AACGAACGCUGGCGGCAUGCCUAACACAUGCAAGUCGAACGAGAUCUUCGGGUCUAGUGGCGCACGGGUGCGUAACGCGUGGGAAUCUGCCCUUUGGUUCGGAAUAACAGUUGGAAACGACUGCUAAUACCGGAUGAUGACGAAAGUCCAAAGAUUUAUCGCAGAGGAUGAGCCCGCGUAGGAUUAGCUAGUUGGUGUGGUAAAGGCGCACCAAGGCGACGAUCCUUAGCUGGUCUGAGAGGAUGAUCAGCCACACUGGGACUGAGACACGGCCCAGACUCCUACGGGAGGCAGCAGUGGGGAAUAUUGGACAAUGGCGAAAGCCUGAUCCAGCAAUGCCGCGUGAGUGAUGAAGGCCUUAGGGUUGUAAAGCUCUUUUACCCGGGAUGAUAAUGACAGUACCGGGAGAAUAAGCUCCGGCUAACUCCGUGCCAGCAGCCGCGGUAA
rnacentral:rRNA from 1 species